AUGCAGCUGAAGGAAGCAGCCAUGGAACUGCAGGGUUCGGCGCAGAUGGAAGUACAAAGGAGAGCAGCUCGGCGCUCCCAGUUGGCUCUGAUCUUGCCUCUGCAUGUAUUGCACAUCCUCACGCAGGGUGACGAGGAAGCGUGGGAAAGGCAGUGUGCGUGGCACUCAGAGCUUGUGGCAGGCCUUGAUAAGCUGGAUGUAAGUAUGGAGCAGCUGCAACAAGACCAAGAAAAAUGGACAGCACAAGGAGGAGACUGGGCUUCAACCAUGCAUGCUACGGACAGAGAGCUGAGACAGCGAGAGUUGUGGGAGCAGUGUUGCUCCAGACUGACAGAGUUGGAAGCUGCUCUUAACGCACUGCAUUCUGUCAGACACCUCUCUCAACUCCGCGCAGACACUGCUCAGGCAGUGCUGUGUGGAAACUUUUGGUACAGGGAAUAUGGUCUGGUCAAGUGCAGUGGACACAGGCCGACUGUGGAGCGCAGGGGUUUGCUUCAACAGAUGGCUUUGCCUCUGCUGGAGAGACUGAACAAGCUCCUGGAAGACAAACAGCCUACCAGCUCCUCUCCCAACACCUGCAAUCAGCACAUUUCUGGUUUGUCGACAAAGCAGGCGUAUGGGUUGGAGAUAGCCUCUGGAGUCUGGACAGCCUCUGUUCCCAAAGUAACAGGAGGCAGAGGGGACGCUCUUUGUCCGUCGCCAGAGGCUGAAGUCGGUUGGAGGUUUCUCCCUGCUGCUGCUCCACUGUCUGUCCCACAUCAAGAUACACAACAUGAGCUCGGACUCCAGUCCUGUCUUCCAGAGGCUUUUCUUCAAGGUACUGCAGGGAUGUUUGGGGGAGCUGUUUCAUGCCAGACUGGGUGUGACCUCCUCUGGACAGGAACACAGUCGGUCUGUGUUACAGGACCAAGAGACCCCAUCUGGAGUUUUAAAGAGGAGCCUUUCAGACUCCCAUGCUGCUUCACUGCUUUGCGGGUCUCAAACACCAAGCAGAGGAUUUCUGUCUGAAGAUGAAGUUGGGGAACUACAGAGGAAACACAGAGAGACCAGUCUGCUCACCCAUCUUGAAGGACUUUUGAGAGAGAAAAGCUCUCUGUGAGGGAAAUUCUUCUUCUUGAAAGAGAAGAAACAGGAGGGUUCUUUUAUUGCGAGCGUUAUGAGUGGCUCUUUUCAAAACUCUUUUUUUUCAGCUUCAGAAGCAAGCUGGCCACCCUAGACAAUGAAGGUCUCUAGAAUUUCUCUCCCCACAGUGGGUAAAAUUACCUUAACAUUAAUUAAAUUAGUUAAAGGAGGAGUAAAAAGGAGUAAAAAGGAGGCUUGCGCAAUAACUUCUACAAUCUAAUAGAAUCCAGC
ensembl:lncRNA